rnacentral:rRNA from 1 species
AGCGAACGCUGGCGGCAGGCCUAACACAUGCAAGUCGAGCGCGCCUUCGGGUGAGCGGCGGACGGGUUAGUAACGCGUGGGAACGUACCCUUCUCUACGGAAUAGCCUUUGGAAACGAAGAGUAAUACCGUAUACGCCCUUUGGGGGAAAGAUUUAUCGGAGAAGGAUCGGCCCGCGUUAGAUUAGAUAGUUGGUGGGGUAACGGCCUACCAAGUCUACGAUCUAUAGCUGGUUUUAGAGGAUGAUCAGCAACACUGGGACUGAGACACGGCCCAGACUCCUACGGGAGGCAGCAGUGGGGAAUCUUAGACAAUGGGCGCAAGCCUGAUCUAGCCAUGCCGCGUGAGUGAUGAAGGCCUUAGGGUCGUAAAGCUCUUUCGCCUGUGAUGAUAAUGACAGUAGCAGGUAAAGAAACCCCGGCUAACUCCGUGCCAGCAGCCGCGGUAAUACGGAGGGGGUUAGCGUUGUUCGGAAUUACUGGGCGUAAAGCGCACGUAGGCGGAUUGGAAAGUUGGGGGUGAAAUCCCGGGGCUCAACCCCGGAACUGCCUCCAAAACUAUCAGUCUAGAGUUCGAGAGAGGUGAGUGGAAUUCCAAGUGUAGAGGUGAAAUUCGUAGAUAUUUGGAGGAACACCAGUGGCGAAGGCGCCUCACCGUCUCGAUACAGACGCUGA